rnacentral:rRNA from 1 species
UACGUAGGGGGCAAGCGUUGUCCGGAAUCAUUGGGCGUAAAGCGCGUGUAGGCGGCCCGAUAAGUCCGCUGUGAAAGUCCAGGGCUCAACCCUGGGAUGCCGGUGGAUACUGUCGGGCUCGAGUCCGGAAGAGGCGAGUGUAAUUCCUGGUGUAGCGGUGAAAUGCGCAGAUAUCAGGAGGAACACCAAUGGCGAAGGCAGCUCGCUGGGACGUGACUGACGCUGAGACGCGAAAGCGUGGGGAGCAAACAGG